GACGAACGCUGGCGGCGUGCUUAACACAUGCAAGUCGAACGGACUAUAGCAAUAUAGUUAGUGGCGAACGGGUGAGUAACACGUGACUAAUCUGCCCUAAACUGGGGGAUAACGUCGGGAAACUGACGCUAAUACCGCAUAUUGAGACGGGUUCACAUGGAUCUGUCUUGAAAGCUCCGGCGGUUUAGGAUGAGGUCGCGUCCCAUUAGCUUGUUGGCGGGGUAAUGGCCCACCAAGGCAACGAUGGGUAGCUGGUCUGAGAGGAUGAUCAGCCACACUGGGACUGAGAUACGGCCCAGACUCCUAUGGGAGGCAGCAGUGAGGAAUAUUGCGCAAUGGGCGAAAGCCUGACGCAGCAACGCCGCGUGAGGGAUGAAGGAGCUUUGCUUUGUAAACCUCUGUAGGGAGGGACGAACAACCGGUCGCCGGUUAUGACGGUACCUCCAAAGUAAGCACCGGCUAACUCCGUGCCAGCCGCCGCGGUAA
rnacentral:rRNA from 1 species